UACGUAGGGGGGCGAGCGUUGUCCGGAUUUAUUGGGCGUAAAGAGCUCGUAGGCGGUUUGGUAAGUCGGGUGUGAAAUCUCCACGCUCAACGUGGAGGGGCCACUCGAUACUGCCAUGACUCGAGUCCGGUGAGAGGAGUGUGGAAUUCCCGGUGUAGCGGUGAAAUGCGCAGAUAUCGGGAGGAACACCAAUUGCGAAGGCAGCUCGCUGGGACGUCACUGACGCUGAGACGCGAAAGCGUGGGGAGCAAACAGGG
rnacentral:rRNA from 1 species